GGGCCACUAGCUCAAUGGUAGAGCACACGCCUCUUAAGCGUUAGGUUAUGGGUUCGACUCCCUUGUGGCCCA
rnacentral:tRNA from 1 species